UCCUGUGUGGCUGUCUCUGAUGGCAUCAUCAAGGUAUCCAAUGACAUGAAGGUACACAAGUUGUUGACACCAGAGGAGUUGAAGAAGCUCAAGAAGGUGGUACUCUUCUGCCUGAGUGAGGACAAGAACUCAUCCUCAAGGAGGGCAAGCAGAUGUUCGUGGGUGAUGUCAGCCAGACUGUCAGUGGCCUCUCCACCACCUCUGUCAAGAUGCUGCCAGACAAAGACUGCCAUAACGCCCUCUGUGACGCAAACUGUGAGACAAAGGAGAGCAAGGAGGAGGACCUGGUGUUCAGCUUCUGGGCCUGAGUCUGCACCCCUGAAGAGCAAAAUGAUCUAUGCCAACUCCAAGGACACUAUCAAGAAGAAGCUGACGGGGAUCAAGCAUGAAUUACAAGCAAACUGCUACGCGGAAGUCAAGAACGACCGCACCUUUGCAGAGAAGCUGGGAGGCAGUGCCAUUAUCUCCCUGGAGGGAAACCCUUUG
rnacentral:lncRNA from 1 species